rnacentral:rRNA from 1 species
AUUGAACGCUGGCGGCAGGCCUAACACAUGCAAGUCGAGCGGAAGAAGGGGGCUUGCUCCCGGAUUCAGCGGCGGACGGGUGAGUAACGCGUAGGAAUCUACCUAAUAGUGGGGCAUAACGUUCCGAAAGGAACGCUAAUACCGCAUACGUUCCGAGGAAGAAAGCAGGGGACCGCAAGGCCUUGCGCUAUUAGGUGAGCCUGCGUCCGAUUAGCUAGUUGGUAGGGUAAAGGCCUACCAAGGCGACGAUCGGUAACUGGUCUGAGAGGAUGAUCAGUCACACUGGAACUGAGACACGGUCCAGACUCCUACGGGAGGCAGCAGUGGGGAAUAUUGGACAAUGGGGGCAACCCUGAUCCAGCCAUGCCGCGUGUGUGAAGAAGGCCUUC